ACAUACGACCACAGGGUGUGGAAAACAGGGCUUCCCGUCCGCUCAGCCGUACUUAAGCCACACGCCGGGAGGUUAGUAGUUGGGUGGGUGACCACC
rnacentral:rRNA from 1 species